GGGACAUCUUGGGGGGAGGGGUGAUGCGACAGCUCUGCCUACUGAACCCCUAACUGCGUCCGUGGGUUCGCAGCUCGGCAUGUCGGGACUGACAACGACGACCAGCCUUCAUCUCCUUGCUGUGACUCGGCGAACACCGAGAUCGGCUUACCUCCAUGACGGCAAAGGGCUUGUCCCUCGAGUGGUAGCAGGUCUGGAACUGCGUGAGCCAGUGGCGUGCCUCCCCUGGGCUGGCUCCACACUGGUUCAGGAAGGCCUGGAUGUCCCGCUGCACCAGUGAUCUGCCGGCGGGAGGCGCAGGGGAUUCGAGGGGAACUGAAAUUGGUAUCCACGACGGCUCUUCGACGGCAGGAGACUGGACACGACCCUUUGCGCCCUCGGAGUCCUCUGCGUGAGCCCUGGCAGUGCUGAGUCGGCGUCCUGGGCUGGCGCUCUUCGCCCCGCGCCGCCGCGCGCUACAGCUCAGUCUCCGUGAGCCCCCAGGACCUCCCGGGCUGCGCAGCCUUCUGGCUGCAGCAGUCGACCUCAGGGCUGUGGCCACCCACGCCGUCGCCAUGACGACAACCAAACUCACUCGCCCCCCCACCCACAGGUGCUGGUCGGUCAGGAGCGCACAGCACUGGGGGGUUCUUAACUUGCGACUGAACUGGGCUGGAUCAGACCAGGGGCGGGCGGAAUAGGAGGCCCCAAGUGGCUUCUGGGUGCAUUUGGGCGGGGUAAGUCACAGCCCGGCAGGCGGGGCCUCUAGAAUUCUCCGCCCCUGGCGGGGAGGGGGGGGGGAAAGAAACUGGUACCAUUAGCAAGGGUCACGAGGGUCAGAUUUAGAGUUGCGGAGCUCUUUAAUCUGCUGCCAAUACUGGUUCCAGGAAGCGCUCAAGUGUCCCAGGUGUGUCUUUGCGAAUUUGCAGGGUCGUACAGGCAGGUGACAUGAGUUGGAAGGAGGAGUCUGGGAAAAUUGAACACAGGUCCUGGUUCUCACUGUAGCCUCUGGUAUGCAAACAAAGUCCUGUUGUCAAGCGGAAGGUGAUGAGGCAUGUUUGUGAUCUCAGUUCCUGGGAGGCUGGGGCAGGAGGAUUGCUGCGAGUUCCAGGUGGACCUAGCCUCCAUAGCAGGGCCUUGUCUCAAAAAAGAAAAACUAGACUCGUGAGGCAGAGGCAGGCCUGUACCCUAAGGUCACCCAGGUCUACACAGCUAGUUUCAGAACAGCCUGGGGUCUACAUAACCUAGAGACAACCCUGUCUCAAAGAAAAAAAAAAGGCAAUCCCCUAUCCACCCCCCCCCCAAAACGAAAGAAACAGAACUUGGCAUGAUGGCCAGAUACCUGUAACCCCAACAUUUCCUAAGUGGAAUCAGGAGGAGGAUCAGAGACAAGGUCAUCCUUGACUUCAUAGGCAGUUCAAUCAAGGUCAACCUGUGCUAAUAAAACCCUGUUUUUUGUUUGUUUUUGUGUUUUGAGA